rnacentral:pre_miRNA from 1 species
AGAUGAUGAUGAUGAUGAUGAUGAUGAUGAUGCUGAUGAUGAUUGCAAAGAUGCUAAUCAGCUAAUAAUCAUCAUCAUCAUCAUCAUCAUCAUCAUCAUCAUCA